rnacentral:rRNA from 1 species
AAGAUUAAUACCGCAUAAGAUUGUAGUAUCGCAUGAUAUAGCAAUUAAAGGAGCAAUCCGCUAUAAGAUGGACCCGCGUCGCAUUAGCUAGUUGGUGAGGUAAUGGCUCACCAAGGNGACGAUGCGUAGCCGACCUGAGAGGGUGAUCGGCCACAUUGGGACUGAGACACGGCCCAGACUCCUACGGGAGGCAGCAUG